GGGGAUCAAAGCAGGGCGAUGCAGAUGGAUUGACCUCCUGGCAGAACACCUGUCCCAGAUGAGGGGGUCCCCCUGAGAAGGAAGUAAAGCCGGAAAGCAGCGGAGAAGGCAAAGCAGGUGGAAGGUGGUCUACUUGCAAGAUAUCCCAGCCCAGGAUGCUGGAGGACAGGAGUCGGUGUUGCCCCGAGCCUGGCCAGGAGCAGAGAUGAGCAGCCUCUUGACGUCGUUGUGGAUUUUUUCGUCCGAGGAACCGGCCUUCGCAUCCGCAGUUAUCGCCACGUUCACCCGGCAGACAUCGCCUGCGACUGCCUUGUCUCUGAUGCCUAUUUUCUGAGGAUCUACCAUUUGAUGUUGAGAAGCAGCAGUGAGAAGAUAUCUCAGGGCAUUUUGUUCAGCAGAGUGUUUCAAAUAAGGGUUGCAGUCACUGUGCGAGUUAGUCUCCUGCUGCGUGUCAGAGUGUGUCUGUCUGUGAGAGUCGGUGGGUCAGGGUCUGCUUGUGUGCAUGUGUGUCGAGUGGUUCUAACCUGGUAUGUAUGGCUUUUGCUUUU